rnacentral:rRNA from 1 species
GCACCGGCUAACUCCGUGCCAGCAGCCGCGGUAAUACGGAGGGUGCAAGCGUUGCUCGGAAAUUACUGGGCGUAAAGCGUACGCAGGCGGCUUUGUAAGUCGGGUGUGAAAGCCCCAGGCUCAACCUGGGAACUGCAUCCGAUACUGCAAGGCUUGAGUUCGGGAGAGGGAAGUGGAAUUCCUGGUGUAGAGGUGAAAUUCGUUGAUAUCAGGAGGAACACCGGCGGCGAAAGCGGCUUCCUGGCCCGAUACUGACGCUCAUGUACGAAAGCGUGGGGAGCAAACAGGAUUAGAUACCCUGGUAGUCCACGCCGUAAACGAUGAGUGCUAGAUGUUGGAGGUAUUCACCCCUUCAGUGUCGAAGCUAACGCAUUAAGCACUCCGCCUGGGGAGUACGGCCGCAAGGUUAAAACUCAAAGGAAUUGACGGGAG